AUUGAACGCUGGCGGCAGGCCUAACACAUGCAAGUCGAGCGGAUGAGUGGAGCUUGCUCCAUGAUUCAGCGGCGGACGGGUGAGUAAUGCCUAGGAAUCUGCCUGGUAGUGGGGGACAACAGUUGGAAACGACUGCUAAUACCGCAUACGUCCUACGGGAGAAAGCAGGGGACCUUCGGGCCUUGCGCUAUCAGAUGAGCCUAGGUCGGAUUAGCUAGUAGGUGAGGUAAUGGCUCACCUAGGCGACGAUCCGUAACUGGUCCGAGAGGAUGAUCAGUCACACUGGAACUGAGACACGGUCCAGACUCCUACGGGAGGCAGCAGUGGGGAAUAUUGGACAAUGGGCGAAAGCCUGAUCCAGCCAUGCCGCGUGUGUGAAGAAGGUCUUCGGAUUGUAAAGCACUUUAAGUUGGGAGGAAGGGCAGUAAGUUAAUACCUUGCUGUUUUGACGUUACCAACAGAAUAAGCACCGGCUAACUUCGUGCCAGCCGCCGCCGUAAAAC
rnacentral:rRNA from 1 species